rnacentral:lncRNA from 1 species
CGGGGUCACACACAUUAGAGGUUCCUAUCUGAUCUGAUGGUUGGUGAAGAGUCCCACUGGACUGGGACUCUUCGACCAAGAGUCCUAAUGCUUGGGGACUUUGAGUCCUAUGUGUCUAGGACUCGUGAUCGAGAAUCAAAAUUUUUUGAUCAUGAGUUCCACACAUUUUGGGUAUCGGGGUCAAGAGUCCCACUGGUUUGAGACUCUUCGAUCAAGGUUUCAUAUCGAUGGACUUUGA